ensembl:lncRNA
AAAAAAAAAAAAAAAAAAAAAAAAAAAGUGUACCGCGCAUGCGCAGUGACCAGAGGCGUACGUUGGGUUUUACUGGUGCCAAAAAAGGGUCUAUUGCAGUGUAAGUUUAUGCUAAACAAACAACUGUGGCUUAUUUCUUUCUGAAAUUGAAUUAUUUGUGCAGAAAUACAUUUUUAGUAUUGCGGCAUUGCACUUGCUCUGAGAACAAUGAGGUUUAUGACAAGCCUGGACGAGAGAGGUUUUACAGAGGAAAGUAUCAAGUUCAAGAUAUGAACAGUGAUUCAGAGGAAGACGUUCUGGUGGAUGACUGGAUGACAUCCAAACAAGAUCUGUUGGACACAUCAGAUGAAGAGCUGAAUGAUGACCUUUUGUGUAGCGAUGAUGAGAACGAAACUAUAAGAUGUCACAAUGAAAGCAUUUCUAAACAAAAACUGCAGGCGAUUGCAAAGCCUUACCUCGUUUGCAAAACUCCACACCUUGCUGAAGACCAAGGCAGAUGUCCUAAAGAAGAGGUGGAAGUGGACCCUGGUGAAGUUUUAGACAUCGAAAUCAAUGCCCCUUCUGGAGAUGAAUUUCACCAGGAAGUUGCUGACGACAGUGACCAUCAGCAGGCCAAUGUAAAGAUGGAUGUUAAGGAUGACAUUAAGGUGGUGUCCAGUUUGCAGGAGUCAAGAGAGGGUGGAUCUGAGUUGCGAGAGGGUCUCUCUCCUCAACCCUUUGGGCCUCAUCUCACACACUCCUGCGGGGGACAGCCUGCCCCAGAGGAGACCCUCACUGGACCCUGCUGCAGUCCUGAGCCAGUGUUCCCAGGACAGCAUAUGUUUGAUCCACAACACUCUGCUUCAGUCUUGGACACUAAUCCGCCCCUUGCUGGACCUACUCCCAUGGGCUCCAUUCAGCCUCCAGGAAAUGAGAGUGACCCCUGCAGACCCAGUCUAGCUUUGCAAGGGCCCACCGAUCUGUCAAGGCCUGGGACUCCCCACCGUGGGCAAAAGCCCUUUCAGAAACAUCCAUCAGCUCAGUCUGGCUGCUCCUUUACUGCUACCUCUGGACCACAGGCACAGAAACCUGCUGUGCUGGUAAGAGCUGUUGCCAGGAUGGUGCAGAGUGCCAAGCCAAUGGCUGUUGCCAGGGGGAUGCCCAUUGCUGCAAGGCAGCCAAAAGGUGCCAAGUCUAAGAUAUCUGCCAAAACUCCACCAGCACCAGGGUUGCUGGGAAGAAAUGUGGGUCAGAAGGUCAAGGUGCAGCCCCAAACUCCUCCAGCUACUCAAAAACAUCCCGCAAAGCCACUAAACAUGACAAACAACAAAGAGUGUGAGGAGGAGGAGUUCUACAUGGAGAGGCUGCAGGAGCAGAUGCGACUGAGGGAGCAGGUUAUCAAACAGAAGGAACGGAUGAGAUCUAGACGGGCUGUAAACAAGAAGCAUCUGCGGCAGGAGCACUUCCAAACUGAUAGUUCCACCGUACACUGGAACAACAACCAAAAUCAACAGAAACAGCCGUGCAUCUUGGGUUCCUGCCCUCGAAAGGUUACGCACCAGCAGCACUUCCAUAAUCCCCCUCACUGUCUUGUCUUGGAGCGCCAUCCAGAAUAUCAGCCCUUGCCUUCACUGCAGCACCAGUAUCAGGUUUUAGUACCCCCACUUCAGCCUCCAUGGCAACAAGCUCCACGAGGGAAUCCAUCAGAGCUGCAGCAUAAUCAGUCUCAUCAGUGGGGCGCAGACAGGGUGGUGUUACAGGGAAUGGAGCAAGUCCGAGAUCAGAUGAACCAACAGUACAGUACUGAAGAGGCCCAUGCAGCAGGUCCGCAGGAAGUCUGGCGAGGACGCAAGAGGAUGUGUGAGCAGAGAACUUCUGACGGGCCUGUUCCCACCAAAAUUAGAGUGGUAAAACACAUCAGCCCAGUUAGUGCGAGUUGUGAUCUCACACCACAGACGAGUGAAGAGACUAAUGCAGCGACUGAAACGAAGCCCAGAAUUGUCACCUUCAGAAUGCCUGAUUCAUCUCCACCUUCAUUUCAGCAACACAGUCUCAAGUCAAACUGUCCCAAACAGGGAAGGGGAUCUGGUCCAAACCAGCCCCAGGAUGAGGUGGCUGUCAGGGGAAACCAUUGCAGCGCUUUCAUCUAUUAUAGUUCCUUCAGUUCCGGCCUGAGAACAGAGUCUGUUACUGCUCAAACCCAUGUCAACUUCAUAGUAAGACUGAACCACUAAACCUCUCAGAUAUCAAGCCCUGUGCAACAACAUGCUGAGAAGAAAAUGUUCUCGUAGGUUUGGCAACAUUUUGGUUAUGAUGCAAUAUUUUCUUUUUUUUUGUGAUUGUUGAAGACAGUGGUUUGGCAGCUGUUUGCAUUUUGCUUCUUGGUUUCCAUUAAAUACCUUACACUACUUGCAUGGUCCUACGUGGCUUUUCAUGUUAUUUCCCAAGAAACCCUUUAAUGUGUUUGUUCUUUGAUGAAUUUAUACUUUAUUUUGAGUCACCUUUAUACAGUCACUCUUACUGAUUUAUUAUUCACCCUUUAUUAUUCCCCAUAAAUGUUUUUCAAGUUUAGUUAAGUUUUAUCUCUGGGGAAUGAGCUAUAAAAACAAAGGUGGCAUCAUGACGAUGGUAAUAGCCUAUUGACAACUACCAGUAAUGCUUAAAUGAGCAUUAAAGUUAUAGUUAACCAAAAAAAUGAAAAUUCUGUUAAUGUUUACACAACCUCAAGUUGACCUCCAAACCUGUAUGAAUUUCUUCCUUCUGCUGAACACAAAAAGAAGCUAUUUUGAAGAAUGGGGGUAAUCGGAUAUGUUGGUCCCCAUAGACUUCCAUAGUAGGAAUGAAUACUAUGGAAGUCAAUGGGGACCAACAGCUGUUCAGUUCUUCAAAAUAUCUCUUGUGUGUGUGUUUUUGUGUUCUGCUGAAGAAAGAAAUUCAUACAGGCUUGGGUGAGUUAAUGACGACAAUGUUAAGCAAUGUUUUCUAUUCCUUCCAACAUUAUUAAGAAAGCACUGCAUUUGACAUUAGCACUCACUUACUUAUUUUGAAUAUUAUAAAUUUUCCCUCAUCUUUCUGACAAAAGCCUGCCUAGGCCACAUGGUUUUACUCAUGCUGAUGUCCAGCACCAUCUAGUGGCCAAUUUGCUUGAUCUUUUCCAGUUAAUUAAUAAAUUGGGCUUUAUUUAUUUAUUUAUUUUACA